GUUAAUUUGGCAGAUUUUAUGUAUUAGAUUUAAAAUCUAAUUAAUUUAAUUAAUA
rnacentral:tRNA from 1 species